AAAAUAGACAAGUUUUGACUUCGAAUCAAAUAAUGAUUAAUAUCCUAUUUUA
rnacentral:tRNA from 1 species